UGGGGAAUAUUGCACAAUGGGCGCAAGCCUGAUGCAGCAACGCCGCGUGAACGAUGAAGGUCUUCGGAUCGUAAAGUUCUGUUGCAGGGGAAGAUAAUGACGGUACCCUGUGAGGAAGCCCCGGCUAACUACGUGCCAGCAGCCGCGGUAAUACGUAGGGGGCUAGCGUUAUCCGGAUUUACUGGGCGUAAAGGGUGCGUAGGUGGUCUUUCAAGUCGGUGGUUAAAGGCUACGGCUCGACCGUAGUUAGCCUCCGAAACUGGAAGACUUGAGUGCAGGAGAGGAAAGUGGAAUUCCCAGUGUAGCGGUGAAAUGCGUAGAUAUUGGGAGGAACACCAGUAGCGAAGGCGGCUUUCUGGACUGCAACUGACACUGAGGCACGAAAGCGUGGGUAGCAAACAGG
rnacentral:rRNA from 1 species